rnacentral:rRNA from 2 species
GAGUGAGUGGCGGACGGGUGAGUAACACGUGGGUAACCUGCCCUAAAGUGGGGGAUAACAUUUGGAAACAGAUGCUAAUACCGCAUAAAACCUAGCACCGCAUGGUGCAAGGUUGAAAGAUGGUUUCGGCUAUCACUUUAGGAUGGACCCGCGGUGCAUUAGUUAGUUGGUGAGGUAAAGGCUCACCAAGACCGUGAUGCAUAGCCGACCUGAGAGGGUAAUCGGCCACACUGGGACUGAGACACGGCCCAGACUCCUACGGGAGGCAGCAGUAGGGAAUCUUCCACAAUGGACGAAAGUCUGAUGGAGCAACGCCGCGUGAGUGAAGAAGGUUUUCGGAUCGUAAAACUCUGUUGUUGGAGAAGAACGUAUUUGAUAGUAACUGAUCAGGUAGUGACGGUAUCCAACCAGAAAGCCACGGCUAACUACGUGCCAGCAGCCGCGGUAAUACGUAGGUGGCAAGCGUUGUCCGGAUUUAUUGGGCGUAAAGCGAGCGCAGGCGGUUUCUUAAGUCUGAUGUGAAAGCCUUCGGCUCAACCGAAGAAGUGCAUCGGAAACUGGGAAACUUGAGUGCAGAAGAGGACAGUGGAACUCCAUGUGUAGCGGUGAAAUGCGUAGAUAUAUGGAAGAACACCAGUGGCGAAGGCGGCUGUCUGGUCUGUAACUGACGCUGAGGCUCGAAAGCAUGGGUAGCAAACAGGAUUAGAUACCCUGGUAGUCCAUGCCGUAAACGAUGAGUGCUAGGUGUUGGAGGGUUUCCGCCCUUCAGUGCCGCAGCUAACGCAUUAAGCACUCCGCCUGGGGAGUACGACCGCAAGGUUGAAACUCAAAGGAAUUGACGGGGGCCCGCACAAGCGGUGGAGCAUGUGGUUUAAUUCGAAGCAACGCGAAGAACCUUACCAGGUCUUGACAUCCUUUGACCACUCUAGAGAUAGAGCUUUCCCUUCGGGGACAAAGUGACAGGUGGUGCAUGGUUGUCGUCAGCUCGUGUCGUGAGAUGUUGGGUUAAGUCCCGCAACGAGCGCAACCCUUAUUACUAGUUGCCAGCAUUUAGUUGGGCACUCUAGUGAGACUGCCGGUGACAAACCGGAGGAAGGUGGGGACGACGUCAAAUCAUCAUGCCCCUUAUGACCUGGGCUACACACGUGCUACAAUGGAUGGUACAACGAGUCGCGAGACCGCGAGGUUUAGCUAAUCUCUUAAAACCAUUCUCAGUUCGGAUUGUAGGCUGCAACUCGCCUACAUGAAGCCGGAAUCGCUAGUAAUCGCGGAUCAGCAUGCCGCGGUGAAUACGUUCCCGGGCCUUGUACACACCGCCCGUCACACCAUGAGAGUUUGUAACACCCAAAGC